rnacentral:lncRNA from 1 species
AGGAAAAUGGUUUAAGUUUGGGGGAGUUUAUGAAAUAAGGGAGUAUUGAGAAAAUAACAAGUUGAGUUGAAAAGAAAGAAAAAGAAGAAAGAAGAAGAAAAGAAAUAAAAAUGCAUUGAAUGAACAAAAGUUGGGAAAUAAGUUGAGAAGUAGUUUAUCCAAUUGUGAAGCAAAAAGAGAGAGUAAUGCUAUAUCAUGAAGUAAAUUGUUUUCUCUCUUAGCUCGAGGUGCUUUGUUGUCCAGAAAAAACCAAUUUUUCUUCUUAGCCAGCCACAAUACAAGCCUAAAAAAGUCCUUAUGAUGCUAACUUGCUUGUGAAUGUGUUUGAUAUUGUUGAAACGAAUGGCAAAUUUGAUUUGUGUGACACUGUGAUAGUUGGGAGUUAGACACACAUCCUUAUACACCACCAUGCUUGAGUUGAGUGAAACACUUUCUUUGGUGAGGAUUGGGUCCAUGCAUUCAAUGAAAACAUCUUGCCAUGUUUGUUGAUCUAUCAUUUGCAUCUAUCUUGUGAUCUUGAAUUAUGAGCACCAUGAUUGAAGUUUAGCUUGCUAAAACCAUAUUGUCUCGUGAAUGUCAUUUCUAAUUUGAGAAAGCAUGGUUGAUUUUGUUUAUUUGAUUUAAUUGUGCUUGAGUUGCUAGACCAUUUGAAUUGUUGCUAGGUAAAGUACUUUUGCUUGAGGACAAGCGAAGUUGUAAGUUUGGGGGAGUUUGAUAAUGCUAAUUCUUACCAUUAUCUAAGCAUCAUUUUAGUAGCAAAAUCAACUCCUUUCUAGCUUAUAACUUGCUUAAUCUCUAUGUUCUCUUAGUUUUCUAAAUAAUUGUGUUUUGGGAUACUUUGAUGUAACUUCACCUCUAAUCCCCUGUUUUUGAUGCAUUUUGAUGUUAGGAAGAUCCUCC